rnacentral:rRNA from 1 species
UAGUAACGGCGAGUGAAGAGGGAAGAGCUCAAAUUUUGAAUCUGGCGUCUUUGGCGUCCGAGUUGUAAACUAGAGAAGUGUUUUCUGUAGUGGGCCGUUCAUAAGUCUCCUGGAAUGGGGCGUCAUAGAGGGUGAGAAUCCCGUUUGUGGCACGGACACCAUUGCUAUACGAUACACUCUCCACGAGUCGAGUUGUUUGGGAAUGCAGCUCAAAAUGGGUGGUAAAUUCCAUCUAAAGCUAAAUAUUGGCGAGAGACCGAUAGCGAACAAGUACCGUGAGGGAAAGAUGAAAAGCACUUUGGAAAGAGAGUGAAACAGUACGUGAAAUUGUUGAAAGGGAAA